AGAGUUUGAUCCUGGCUCAGAACGAACGCUGGCGGCGCGCCUAAUACAUGCAAGUCGAGCGAGAAGGUGUAGUGAUACACUUGUAAAGCGGCGAACGGGUGAGGAAUACAUGGGUAAUCUACCAUCGAGUGGGGAAUAACCAACCGAAAGGUUGGCUAAUACCGCGUACGCCUCCGGAUCUUCGGGUUCGGAGGGAAAGCUGCGCUGUGAGUGUAGCGCUCUUUGAUGAGCUCAUGUCCUAUCAGCUUGUUGGUAGGGUAACGGCCUACCAAGGCUUUGACGGGUAGCUGGUCUGAGAGGACGAUCAGCCACACUGGCACUGCGACACGGGCCAGACUCCUACGGGAGGCAGCAGUAAGGAAUAUUGCGCAAUGGGCGAAAGCCUGACGCAGCGACGCCGCGUGGGGGAUGAAGGUCUUCGGAUUGUAAACCCCUUUCGGGAGGGAAGAUGGAGCGAGCAAUCGUUCGGACGGUACCUCCAGAAGCAGCCACGGCCAACUUCGUGCCAGCAGCCGCGGUAAUACGAAGGUGGCAAGCGUUGUUCGGAUUCACUGGGCGUACAGGGUGUGUAGGCGGUUUGGUAAGCCUUCUGUUAAAGCUUCGGGCCCAACCCGGAAAGCGCAGAGGGUACUGCCAGGCUAGAGGGUGGGAGAGGAGCGCGGAAUUCCCGGUGUAGCGGUGAAAUGCGUAGAGAUCGGGAGGAAGGCC
rnacentral:rRNA from 1 species